UCACUAUUGAAGUCGUCUAACGUGGCCAUCACUUUAAUUUUUUCUCUUGAAGUUCUCAUCUUCCCUUCUUGCAGUAAGCAAGUUUACUCUCUAGAAUAGCUGUCUACCUCCUCCAUGUCAUUCAAGUAAAGGAAGGAACACUGCUUGAACUCUAAUGGCAGAGAUAUCGGUUCUGCAGUUGUCCAAGAGACAGUUAGCCAAAUCCUAUCUGGUCUUGUUCAAAAAUAUGAGAUGAAAGAGGAAUUAAUUUUCAGCAGAAACUUGGAGAGGCUAGAGAUGGCACACAUCAAGAUGGAGGCUGCUCUUGAAACAUCAGAAAAGUGGCAGGUUACUGAUGGAUCCUUGUUGCGUUGGCGUAGGAAGCUCAAGCGUGCUGCUCAAGAGUGUGAUGACAUGCUGCACAAAUGCAAGCUGAGAAUCCUAGAAAAGGAACAGAUGGAACAGGAGGAAAGAAACUACAUCAUAAAAUCAUUCGGGGAAACAAAUAUCCUUCCUGUCAACUAUUGUUGGAGCCCAUCCGUACUUCAAUGGAUGGAACAAAUGUUGUCUUGACAUUUGUUCAGUACGAUGGUACACCAGAGGGCCAUAUAGUAUUUUGUUUGGUCAUACAACUCUCAGAGAGUACAGAUAUAUUUGGUAUCGCACUUAGAUGCUUGCAGUUUUUUGCCCCUCAUUUUAAAUGUAAUUUUGAAAAUGUAAGGAAUGAACUUACUCAACUGCCCGCUCAAGAAUUCUCAUGGGGGCCAUCUAUUUACUCAUCAUACCAUAAGAAACACUGGGACA